CCUACGGGUGGCAGCAGUGAGGAAUAUUGGUCAAUGGGCGGAAGCCUGAACCAGCCAAGUCGCGUGAGGGAUGAAGGCUCUAUGGAUUGUAAACCUCUUUUAUACGGGAAUAACGUGCGGGACGUGUCCCGCUUUGUAUGUACCUUAUGAAUAAGGAUCGGCUAACUACGUGCCAGCAGCCGCGGUAAUACGGAGGAUCCGAGCGUUAUCCGGAUUUAUUGGGUUUAAAGGGUGCGUAGGCGGCCUUUUAAGUCAGCUGUGAAAGGCUCUGGCUCAACCAGGGAAGUGCAGCUGAGACUGGGAGGCUUGAGUAUGUUUGAGGCAGGCGGAAUGCGUGGUGUAGCGGUGAAAUGCUUAGAUAUCACGCAGAACCCCGAUUGCGAAGGCAGCUUGCCAAGCCAUAACUGACGCUGAUGCACGAAAGCGUGGGGAUCGAACAGGAUUAGAUACCCCUGUAGUC
rnacentral:rRNA from 1 species